CGUAGCCUUUUUUGAUGAUACAGAUAGUGUUUCCCUUUUCCUUAUAAAUUAUAUCCCAACCCGCCAAUUUAUUUUUCGAAGUCCCUGGAGGAGCAACGAAAUUGGUGCCAACUUCCUUUCAAAGCCUCUCAACGAGCUACAAAACCUAGGUGAUUAUCUCCGAUAUUGAAGUUCAAUUGCUUCAAUCUCUUCAAGGAGUAACUGGGGUGAUCAUUCAAAGAAAAGAAAAAUUGAGAAGAAGAAGAAAGAAAAGAGAGAAGAAAAUGGAGAGAAAGAAAAGAGAGAAAGAAGAAGAAGAAGAGGGGAAGAAGAAAAGAAUGAAGGGAGAGAAAGAUGAAACCAAGAAUAUAGAGAGAGAUGCAAGAAGAGAGCGAUGCAGGUGGCUGGAAAAGUGGUCGCCAGUGAGCAAAAUUCUGGUGAUAGGAAAGAGUAAAGGAAGAUCAAGCAUAUGAAAGGUCAAGAAGGAGAUUGUGUAGAGGAGUGAAUUACACUCAAGGUUGGGCCACACGACUUCAUUUCAUCAUAUGUGCCAUAGUUGUGUUUUAUUUUCUGUUGCAAAGUUUAUGUUUCUUCAUCAUGUAUUUAUUUCAUGUUUUGGAUUGUAAAAGAUAUGGAAAAAUCUGAUACCAUAUGUUUCAUUUUGUAAAAAUUC